rnacentral:rRNA from 1 species
UGGCGGCAUGCCUUACACAUGCAAGUCGAACGGCAGCACGGGGCAACCUGGUGGCGAGUGGCGAACGGGUGAGUAAUAUAUCGGAAUGUACCCUAGAGUGGGGGAUAACGUAGCGAAAGUUACGCUAAUACCGCAUACGAUCUGAGGAUGAAAGUGGGGGACCGCAAGGCCUCAUGCUCAUGGAGCAGCCGAUAUCUGAUUAGCUAGUUGGUAGGGUAAAAGCCUACCAAGGCGACGAUCAGUAGCUGGUUUGAGAGAACGACCAGCCACACUGGAACUGAGACACGGUCCAGACUCCUACGGGAGGCAGCAGUGGGGAAUUUUGGACAAUGGGGGCAACCCUGAUCCAGCAAUGCCGCGUGAGUGAAGAAGGCCUUCGGGUUGUAAAGCUCUUUUGUCAGGGAAGAAAAGGUAUCCCCUAAUACGGGGUGCUCAUGACGGUACCUGAAGAAUAAGCACCGGCUAACUACGUGCCAGCAGCCGCGGUAAUACGUAGGGUGCAAGCGUUAAUCGGAAUUACUGGGCGUAAAGCGUGCGCAGGCGGUUAUAUAAGUCAGAUGUGAAAUCCCCGGGCUCAACCUGGGAACUGCAUUUGAGACUGUAUGGCUAGAGUGUGUCAGAGGGGGGUAGAAUUCCACGUGUAGCAGUGAAAUGCGUAGAUAUGUGGAGGAAUACCGAUGGCGAAGGCAGCCCCCUGGGAUAACACUGACGCUCAUGCACGAAAGCGUGGGGA